AUUGAACGCUGGCGGCAGGCCUAACACAUGCAAGUCGAACGCGUGGCGGACGGGUGAGUAAUGUCUGGGAAACUGCCCGAUGGAGAGGGAUAACGACUGGAAACGGUAGCUAAUACCGCAUACUCUCAGAUGAGCCUAGGUAGGAUUAGCUAGUUGGUGGGGUAAAGGCCUACAAAGGCGACGAUCCGUAACGGGUCUGAGAGGAUGGGCAGUGACACUGAAACUGAGACACGGUCCAGACUCCGACGUGAGGCAGGAGUGGGGAAUAUUGGCCAAUGGGCGAAAGCCUGAUCCAGCCAUGCCGAGGGUGUGAAGAAGGUCUGCGGAUGGUAAAGCACUUUAAGUUGGGAGGCGUUACCCGCAGAAGAAGCACCGGCUAACUGCGUGCCAGCAGCCGCGGUAAGAC
rnacentral:rRNA from 1 species